rnacentral:rRNA from 1 species
CCAGACUCCUACGGGAGGCAGCAGUGAGGAAUAUUGGUCAAUGGUCGGGAGACUGAACCAGCCAAGCCGCGUGAGGGAUGAAGGUACAGAGUAUCGUAAACCUCUUUUGUCAGGGAACAAAGGCGGGGACGUGUCCCCGGAUGAGUGUACCUGAAGAAAAAGCAUCGGCUAACUCCGUGCCAGCAGCCGCGGUAAUACGGAGGAUGCGAGCGUUAUCCGGAUUUAUUGGGUUUAAAGGGUGCGUAGGCGGGCUUUUAAGUCAGGGGUAAAAAUUCGGGGCUCAACCCCGUCCGGCCGUUGAAACUGGGGGCCUUGAGUGGGCGAGAAGAAGGCGGAAUGCGUGGUGUAGCGGUGAAAUGCAUAGAUAUCACGCAGAACCCCGAUUGCGAAGGCAGCUUACUAAACUGCCACUGACAUUGAUGCUCGAAAGUGUGGGUAUCAAACAGGAUUAGAUACCCCUGUA